AAGCCUUUUAUUUUAUUUUAUUUUUGAAGACAGGUUCUCACUAUGUUGUCCAGACUGGAGUGCAGUGGCAUGAUCUCAGCUCACUGCAGCCUCAACCUCCCAGGCUCAAGCAAUCAUCCUUGUCUUGUACUGGUUUUCAGAGAAUGCUUCCAGCAUUUUCCCAUUCAAUAUGACAUUGACUGUGGGUUUGUCAUAAACACACUUACUAUUUUGAGAUAUGUUCCAUCAACACCUGGUUUAUUGAGAGUUCUUAACAUGAAAGAAAGUUGAAUUUUAUCAAAGGCCUUUUCUGCAUCUAUUGAGAUAAUCAUGUGGUUUUUGUCUUUAGUUCUGUUUAUGUCAUGAAUUACGUUUAUUGAUUUGCAUAUGUUGAACCAGCCCUGCAUCCCAGGGAUGAAGCCGACUUGAUUGUUGUGGAUCAGUUUUUUUGUUUUGUUUUGUUUUGAGACAGAGUUUCGCACUUGUUGUCCAGUGCAGUGGCGUGAUCUCGGCUCACUGCAACCUCUGCCUCCUGGGUUCAAGUGAUUCUCCUGCCUCAGCCUCUCUAGUAGCUGGGAUUAUAGGCAUGCACCACCACGCCUGGCUAAUUUUUUGUACUUUUAGUAGAGACGGGGUUUCUCCAUGUUGGUCAGGCUGGUCUCGAACUCCUGUUCUCACGUGAUCUGCCCGCCUCGGCCUCCCAAAGUGGCGGAUUACAGGCGUGAGCUACCGCGCCCGACCUGGUGGAUGUUUUUUGAUGUGCUGCUGGAUUUGGUUUGCCAGUUUUGUUUUGUUUUUGCUUUUAUUUUUAUUUUUUUGAGACAGAGUCUCACUCUGUCAUCCAGGUUGGAGUAUAGUGGCAUUAUCUCGGCUCACUGCAACCUCCGCCUCCCGGGUUCAAGCAAUUCUUCUGCCUCAGCCUCCUGAGUAGCUGAGACUGCAGGCGUGAGCCACCACACCCAGCUAAAUUUUGGAUUUUUAGUAGAGAUAGUGUUUCACCAUGUUGGCCAGGCUGGUCUUGAACUCCUGACCUUGUGAUUCACCCGCCUUGGCCUCCCAAAGUGCUGGGAUUACAGGCGUGAGCCACCGUGCCCAGCCGAGAAAUGAAAAACCCUCCAAAAAAAAAAAAUC
rnacentral:lncRNA from 10 species